CCUCUAUGGUAGUAGAUGCUUCAGUAAUAGAGUUGCCUCAAUCAGAGAGGAUCGUGACCCAUUCCACAACCACAGAUGCCACAGAGAAGUCCUCAGCAGAGGAGUGUGUCACUCUAGAGCCGUGGAUAAGUCCCUCUCCCUUCAGGUUGAAGGACCUUCUUCCAGGUAAGAGUGGCUCACAGAUGACACACAGACACCAAGCUGCCGAGGUGGCAAUGUAAUGGUGAGUACAGUCCUCUAUACCCGCUAACAGGGAAGGCACUGAUCACUUUGCGUUUUGUCCUUCAAACCAAGAACCAAAGUCUGCAAAAAGAGACAAGUAUUAAAACCCAGAAGAGCCAAUAAUCCUCCCCAGAAUUGGUGAUCUCUUGUAGAAGGGUAAUGGUUAAAAAGAAAAAGAUAAACCACAGUAGCCUCAAUAUAAGUGUUGACCUUCAUGUCUCUGGGUGCUUGUAACUGAGAAACAGAACUGUGAUCCCCCAGGAAUUAUAGAUUACAGGUAGUUUCCUUUCUGGUCUAUUUAUUUUUCUCUCUUUCUCUCUAGCUUUUCUGCCUCUUUUUCUCCACUGCCCUCUUUGUCCACGACUGAUGAUUAGUUCAGAGAGAGAGUAAUGUGUAGGAACCCAUAUGUGAUUUUUUCCCCUACUUUCUUUCAUGCUAAUCCAUUCCUCUCUCAUACCUGACAGUGACCCACCAGCCAGGAAAGUAGAAGGCUCCCUUCCUGGGAUGCUGCAUGUGACUCUCAUGUUUGCUAGAGGAUCAUCUGAUGGAUGUAACUUUAUCAGCUACCCCAGAAAGGCUAUAGCACCUUGACCUUUGCAGGCAUUCAAGAAAUAUUCAUUGAAAUAGAUUAUAAAUUAAACAGUUUUACAAUGCUUUGCAGGAAUAAUGUAAUGUUAUUUGAGCAACUGUCAGUCAGUUCUAUAAUUCUAAGGCACCUGUAAAGAGAUAGUUUCCAAAAGAAAAGAAUGCUUAUGUCACCUACACUUUGUGUUUCCAUGCUGGGAAGUUCCUAGUACAGGAACAAUCUGGCUCUUCCUGGUAUCUGGGGCACAGAAGAAUUGGGACACAUGGGACACUGCUGUUUCUGCAGAGUAUACAUUCUGUUUGUCUCUUGGCCGUAGAGGUAAUAGAGCAGGCCAUCUCUGGCCCUAGUAUGGAGUGGCAGUUGUCCAGGGUGGCCUGUGACCCAGUGAGCAUGUCUUCCUAAUUCAGGGGGAUUGAUGCACUUCCCAAGUUCACAUUUUGUUCCAAGAUUACAUUCUCCAAACAGAAUUAUCACUGGGAACACUGGUAUUUUGGUAUUUCUAAUCUGAAUCCCAUAUCUAUUUCUGAAUUGGUUCUGAGAUCAGGAAAGGGAUAACAUGAUGUUAAAUAUUGACUCACACCUUUAAUAAUAAAGUUCCUUUCAGCUGAAGUUGAGGAAGGUCAUGGGAAUAAUGCUGAUUGGAUUGAGCCUCUUUCUUGACAAAAAUCACACUGGGAUGGAACUCUUGCCCCUCUGCUCCCAACAACUCCCUAGCACAACAGUGUUUCCUAAAGAUGGCAAACCUGGGCCACUGCUGCACAGUGGGCAAUCAGAUUAACCUGUCUGAGUCUGUGUCCUUGGGAUACUUGUUUAACUGGAAUAUUUUCAGUUUAAUGAAUUCUUUGGUAUUAAUUCUCCUACUUUGUUGUUGUUAGCACAAAGAAAACAGAUCAGGACAGGUACUAGUUGGUGAGUGUCUUAGGCCAUUUGUGUUGCUGUAACAAAACAUCUUGGGAUAAAAUUUAUUGUUCAGAAUAAAUUUAUUGCUCACAGGCUGGGAAGUCCAAGAUGAAGGUGCCAGCAGCUUCUGUGUCUGGUAAGACCUUGGUCUCUGCUUCCAAGAUAAAACCUUGAAUGCUGUGUUCUCUGGAGGAGAUGAGUGCUGGGUCCUCGCAUGGCAGAAGAAUCGAAGAUAAAAAACAGUCUCGUUAUUUUCUCAAGACUUUUUAUAAGGGAAUUAAUGCCUGAAGGCAGAGCCUUUAUGAUCUCUUAAAAACCCCAACUGUUAAUACUAGUGGGAUGAAGUUUCAAUAUGAAUUUGGGAGGGAACACAAAAACACUCAAACCAAGACAGUGAGUAUUCUAUCAGUGAAUUGUGAUACUUUUUAUGAUUCACCUCUUUACAUCAGGUGAAAAACACAGAAUUUUCAUAAUAUAUUUUUCAUUCAAUAGAUAUUUAUGCUAUGUCAAUUUAUUCGAGGGCUACUCAAAUAAGGAAAACCAGAUGUAAACUCUGGCUUCUGCAACUUUUACUCAGUAAAAAGAGACUGGCCUGUAGUUUUCAUUUGAUAUGCGUAGGUUACCAACACACAGGUAGAGUUUCAGUGACUCCAAAAGCUUUUGGAAGAGCAGUCACCAUCAUUCCCAUCUCAGUAAAUCCUCCUAGCAUAUUGGUGGGCUAUAUGGCCAGGAUCUACUAUCCACUGAUCCCCUACUUUGGGAACUCCAGGAAUCCUUAUGGUAGACAUGCGGCCAUGAUGGAUGGAAUGAUGUAUCCACUGCAAACUGAGCAUGCAGCUUUCUUGUCUAAAAUAAUAUCAUGUUUGAAAAGUUGUGGAUUUUAUGUUUUUUCUGAUCACAGUGUCACUUCCAAUGCACUAGGAAUAACUCACCAAAGGCUUAGCACACCUCUUGAUGUUUUUGAGCUGUAUGUGCUUUACAAAUACAAUGAUUACAACCUGAGGCUCUCAUAUUACUCACUGUUGUCUAUUAAAAUACAAUGGAUAGCAGAAUGUAAGAUUUCAACAUGUUUGUACUCUUUUUACCUGGUGUGGCAGUAGAAGCAAGGAAGGAUUCACAAUUUUAGUUUUGAUAUUCGGGGAAAAGUGAGGAUUCAGCAAAUAAUGUCUCAGCCAAAUUGACUUAAUUGCUUUUUUUUUUUCAGAUGCAGUGAUAUUCACAGUGAAGAAAUUAAAUGUCUUAUAAGAAAAUCAAUAUUAACAAGAUUUUUUUUUAUUCAAAAGUGGGCUGGGGCCUUAUAUCCACAGCAAUAGAAGAGUCUUAUAUGAAUCUUAAAGAUCCCAGAUUGAGAUCCUGGCAUUUGCAGUCAGAUUGGCAUGAAUUUGAAUACCACCUCUCCUGUUUGCUUGGGACUAAGAAAAGCUGUUUCACCUCAUCUGCAAAAUGGAGAUGAUAAUGUCUAGCUUGUAGUCUGUUAUAGUUGUUCCUGAGGUGCAAAUAUAUUAGUUUGUGAGCAUAGUACCUGGCCUGACAUAUGUUCUCAUGGAAUGGGACUAAUUAAAGGUAGCCCAAACAUACAUCAUGGGAUCUACAAUCCCCUAAGAAUAGAGGCCCAAUUUUCCCCAUUAGCACAGAACAGACUCUGAAAUCAUCAGCCAUGGGAAACUUAGGAUAGAGAAACAAAUGGGAGAGGUAGAGUAGAGAGGAAAAGAACAGGUAACAUAGACAUUCUCUGAGUUCCCUGGCUUAGCCUGAGAGGCCUUUUCCCAUAACGUUGGUAUAAGAAACCCUGGCCAAUUAGACCAUCAGUACCCACAGAAGGGUCUGGGCUACAUCACAGUUCUCAUUUACAAGCUCACAGUCACCAAUCCCCGCUUAAGAUGUCAGUGUUGUUAAGUGGGUGUUCUGUGAAGAAACUCUCAAGCAAAUGAUGCUUUUAGGAGAAGCAAAAAGUUCUUUGAAUAAUCAGCCACUGUAAUAAGGAGGUGAGGGGGUGUUGCAAGUUGCUUGCAAAGUGACAAUAAAUACGAACUUUCCAAACCACUCAU
rnacentral:lncRNA from 1 species